rnacentral:rRNA from 1 species
UACAGAGGUCUCAAGCGUUGUUCGGAUUCAUUGGGCGUAAAGGGUGUGUAGGUGGCGCCGUAAGUCGGGUGUGAAAUCUUGGAGCUUAACUCCGAAACUGCAUUCGAUACUGCCGUGCUUGAGGACUGGAGAGGAGACUGGAAUUUACGGUGUAGCGGUGAAAUGCGUAGAUAUCGUAAGGAAGACCAGUGGCGAAGGCGGGUCUCUGGACAGUUCCUGACGCUGAAGCACGAAGGCCAGGGGAGCAAACGGG